rnacentral:rRNA from 1 species
CCUACGGGAUGCAGCAGUGGGGAAUAUUGCGCAAUGGGCGAAAGCCUGACGCAGCCAAGUAGCGUGAAGGAUGACUGCCCUACGGGUUGUAAACUUCUUUUAUAAAGGAGUAAAGUGAGGCACGUGUGCCUUUUUGUAUGUACUUUAUUAAUAAGGAUCGGCUAACUCCGUGCCAGCAGCCGCGGUAAUACGGGGGAUCCGAGCGUUAUCCGGAUUUAUUGGGGUUAAAGGGAGCGUAGAGGGGUUGGUAAGUCAGUUGUGAAAGUUUGCGGCUCAACCGUAAAAUUGCAAUUGAUACUGGCAGCCUUGAGUACAGUUGAGGUAGGCGGAAUUCGUGGUGUAGCGGUGAAAUGCUUAGAUAUCACGAAGAACUCCGAUUGCGAAGGCAGCCUACUAAACUGCCACUGACAUUGAUGCUCGAAAGUGUGGGUAUCAAACAGGAUUAGAUACCCCUGUAGUC